AGCUUAAGUUCAAUCUUGAUUUCACCCAAGAUCAUAUCAAAGGCUGUGUGGAUCUGCUAUUCUCUUCAAGCUACAAAAGUUUCCGUCACAAGUGUUAUGAACAUUAUGUAAAAUCUGGUGAUGAUGCUAGAAGCAAUCCAUAUCCUCCCCUUAUUGAUAAUAGAGUUGGAGACUGGAUUUGGCUCUGUGAUCAUUUUGAAACAGAAGAAUUUAAGAAACGGUCCACAAUUGGGAAGGCUAACCGCUCAAACCUACCUUAUGUUCACAAGAAGGGAACAAAGUCAUUUGUAGCGGUUCAACAUGAAUUAGAGAUGACCUUGGAGGAGCAGCGGAAAGCAAUACUCGCGCUAAAGACUGAGAAGAGAAAACUAGUUGGAUCUAAAGAAAAUUCAGUGUACAAAUGCUAAAUGUAAUGUUUGGAUCAUAUUGGGGUUUACUGAUUGGAUCAUAUGUUCAGAUCAGUACUAAACGUGGUACUGUACUUUGCAAAUGCUAGAGUGGUAUUUCCUACUUGCAAAACAAAAUUCAGUUUAGCAUGUAAUGUUUGGAUCAUAAGUUUACAAAUGUUGAUUCUGAA